rnacentral:rRNA from 1 species
UGGGGAAUUUUGGACAAUGGGCGCAAGCCUGAUCCAGCCAUUCCGCGUGAGUGAAGAAGGCCUUCGGGUUGUAAAGCUCUUUCGCAAGGGAAGAAAACUUACUUUUUAAUAAAGAGUGAGGUUGACGGUACCUUGAUAAGAAGCACCGGCUAACUACGUGCCAGCAGCCGCGGUAAUACGUAGGGUGCGAGCGUUAAUCGGAAUUACUGGGCAUAAAACGUACACAAGCGGUUUUGUAAAUCAAAUAUGAAAUCCCCGAGCUCAACUUAGGAACUGCAUUUGAAACUACAAGACUAGAAUAUGUCAGAGGGGGGUAGAAUUCCACGUGUAGCAGUGAAAUGCGUAGAGAUGUGGAGGAAUAUCAAUGGCGAAGGCAGCCCCCUGGGAUAAUAUUGACGCUCAUGCACGAAAGCGUGGGGAGCAAACAGG